rnacentral:misc_RNA from 1 species
GAUGAAGAACGUAGCGAAAUGCGAUAAGUAAUGUGAAUUGCAGAAUUCCGUGAAUCAUCGAAUCUUUGAACGCACCUUGCGCCCUUUGGCCAUUCCGAAGGGCAUGCCUGUUUGAGUAUCAUGAACACCUCAACUCUUCAUGGUUUUCCAUGAUGAGCUUGGACUUUGGGGGUCUUGCUGGCCUGUGGGUCGGCUCCUCUCAAAUGAAUCAGCUUGCCGGUUUUUGGUGGGCAUCACAGGUGUGAUAACUAUCUACGCUUGUGGUUUUCCACCAGGGUAACCUUCAGCAGUGGAGGUUCACUGGAGCUUACAAAUGUCUCUCCUCUGUGAGGACAGCCCUUUGAAUGUUUGAUCUCAAAUCAGGUAGGACUACCCGCUGAACUUAAGCAUAUCAAUAGCGGAGGA